rnacentral:rRNA from 1 species
AACGAACGCUGGCGGCGUGGAUAAGACAUGCAAGUCGAACGGGACAGACCGAGUAGCAAUAUUUGGAAUGUUCAGUGGCGAACGGGUGCGUAACACGUGGAUAACAUUCCGGAAAGCGGGGAAUAGCCCAGGGAAACUUGGAUUAAUACCGCAUGUGGCCGCAAGGCUAAAGACGGGGACCGCAAGGCCUGUCACUUUCCGAUUGGUCCGCGGCCUAUCAGCUAGGUGGCGGGGUAAUGGCCCACCAAGGCUACGACGGGUAGCUGGUCUUAGAGGACGACCAGCCAGACUGGAACUGAGACACGGUCCAGACACCUACGGGUGGCAGCAGUCGAGAAUCUUUCACAAUGGGGGCAACCCUGAUGGAGCGACGCCGCGUGGAGGAUAAGGUCUUCGGAUUGUAAACUCCUGUCAUGCGAGAACAAGGUACUCAGGCUAAUAACCUGAUUGUUUGAUGGUACCGCAAGAGGAAGAGACGGCUAACUCUGUGCCAGCCGCCGCAGUAACAC